CAGGUUAAACAGUAAAGAGAGAUCGAUCUAGAAAGUGCAGUAGUGCUUGGAGGAGGAGAAGUAAAAGUGUAAAACUUCAGAAAUUUGUAAAGCAAUGGAGGGUGGCAGCAGCUCAAACAAGAAAUUCCAAGCAUUUUCAUCAAUUUGAAGGGGAUGGAAAAAGCUGAAGAAACUUUCACGUUUCUUUCGUCAAGCAAUACAUUUUCAGGACACCAUUCCAUUUCGACCUUGCAGAGCACAAAGCAUAGCCAAAUUAUAGUCCAACAACCAU